UUUUUUCAUUAUUCUUUCUUCCAUUUUCUUUAUUCUCUAGGCUGCAGAAGAGAAGGCGACUCUCCAUUUUCAUCUCCUCUUUAACCUUUCCAUUACUUUUUCAGUUUUUACUACUUCACCACCAUCAUUUCCAGAUGUUGAUUUUAGUCGAUAAUCAAAUGGAUUCUUCAGCUCCAGUUGUUAUUUUGGAUUCAGUUGUGACUAUGGAUGUGGAUCAAUCAACCCCAGCAUCAACCCCUGCUAUUGUGGCUUCCGAUGCUAGUGAACUGCCUCCUCCUACAACCACAAAUGUCGCACAACAGAAUGUUGACGCAACUGUUGCUGAUGACUGACAAGUAUAUGAAGUACUGGGGGUCAUAUGAGGCUAUGAACCCUUUCCUUUUUAUUGUUGUACUGCUUGAUCCUCGCCAAAAAGAAGUUGGAUUGAAUUUCAGGCUUGAGAUCUUGUGCAAGGAUGAUUUGGAAAGGGUUGCUGAGUUGAGGGACUGUGUGAAGAAGGACUUAGAGAGACUUUUCAACGAGUACAAGCUACGUUAUCAGUUGGUAAUGAAGCAACCAGUACUGCACAAGACACUGAAAUGGUUGAGGCAGGUGUGGAUUCGUUGGACAUCAUGGAGGCUCUGUUGAAAGGGAGGCUAGAGAAACGCAGAAUGGAAAGUGUUAGUAUCGAAGGAAGGUCUGAGGUGGAAAGGUACUUAGCUGAUGUAUGUGAGAAUGCUACCCCCCAGUUUGACUUGUUGGGUUGGUGGAAGAACAAUGCUUCCAAGUAUACAGUUUUGUCAUAUAUCGCAAGGGACAUUCUUGCUAUCCCCGUCUCUUCGGUUGCUUCUGAAUCAGCUUUUAGUACAGGGAAGCGUGUCCUUGACCCAUUUUAGAGCUCUUUAUCUCCUAGGACAGUUGAGGCCCUGAUUCUAACACAGAACUGGUUGCGCACACCUCUGGAUAUUGAUGUAUCAAGCUUUGCAGUUGAUAAUGCUGAAGAGAUUGAGACAGAUAUCCUAGGCCCCGUGACUGCAGAAGAUUGAUAGAGGGAGCUAAUGACAGCUAAUGGUAUUCGAUGAAUGUGCUACUUGGAAGAACCUCUGGAUUAAUCUAUCCUAUUGGAGUUUUCACUUACACAUUAGCUGAAGAAUACCUGGAGUUUGCAUAUUAGUUGAAGAAUAAAACCUUAGUGAUAUCGUUCGUUCAUUCUUUAUUCAUUCAUUCUUUAUUCUUACAGAAGUAUCAAAACAGUUGAUUCUGGUUUUCUUUUUGUCUUGCUUUCAAUUUACUUGAGAUUAAAGUUUGGUUAAGAGAUUUUUCAGUAGAUUAUUGAAUUUAUUAUUAUUAUUAGGAAAUUUCUUUUUAGUUUUUACUGUUA